AUGGGGGCAACCCUGAUCCAGCCAUGCCGCGUGCAGGAUGAAGGCCUUCGGGUUGUAAACUGCUUUUGUACGGAACGAAAAGCUCUCCUCUAAUAAAGGGGGGUCAUGACGGCACCGUAAGAAUAAGCACCGGCUAACUACGUGCCAGCAGCCGCGGUAAU
rnacentral:rRNA from 1 species